AUUGAACGCUGGCGGCAUGCCUUACACAUGCAAGUCGAACGGCAGCACGGGAGCUUGCUCCUGGUGGCGAGUGGCGAACGGGUGAGUAAUACAUCGGAACGUACCCUGAAGUGGGGGAUAACGUAGCGAAAGUUACGCUAAUACCGCAUAUUCUGUGAGCAGGAAAGGGGGGGAUCGCAAGACCUCUUGCUUUAGGAGCGGCCGAUGUCGGAUUAGCUAGUUGGUGAGGUAAAGGCUCACCAAGGCGACGAUCCGUAGCGGGUCUGAGAGGAUGAUCCGCCACACUGGGACUGAGACACGGCCCAGACUCCUACGGGAGGCAGCAGUGGGGAAUUUUGGACAAUGGGCGCAAGCCUGAUCCAGCCAUGCCGCGUGAGUGAAGAAGGCC
rnacentral:rRNA from 1 species